rnacentral:lncRNA from 1 species
UGCGCCCGGCCCCAUCAUUUCUCUUAAAGUUGCAGUUUCAAAGAAACUAUCAACAACUUUUGUGAGAAUUUACUAUAUUGCUUCUUACUAUAUAAAAUUGUUUUAGAAGUGUAAACCAUCUGUGAUGAUUAAUUUUAUGUGUCAACUUGACUGGGGCACAAAGUGUCCAGACAUUUGGUCAAACAUUAUUCCAAGUGUGUCUGUGAGGGUGUUUUUUGAUGAGAUAAACAGCUGAAUUGGAAGCAAAUUGCCCUCCCUAAUGUGAGUCGCCCUUAUCCAAUCAGUUGAUGGCCUGAAGAGAACUAAAAGGCUGACCCUGCCAUAAGACUUGUCUG